rnacentral:rRNA from 1 species
CCUACGGGGGGCAGCAGUGAGGAAUAUUGGUCAAUGGGCGGGAGCCUGAACCAGCCAAGUCGCGUGAGGGAAGACGGUCCUACGGAUUGUAAACCUCUUUUGCCGGGGAGCAACGGGGUCCUUGCGAGGGCCCGAUGAGAGUACCCGGAGAAAAAGCAUCGGCUAACUCCGUGCCAGCAGCCGCGGUAAUACGGAGGAUGCGAGCGUUAUCCGGAUUUAUUGGGUUUAAAGGGUGCGUAGGCGGGCUGUUAAGUCAGCGGUCAAAUGUCGGGGCUCAACCCCGGCCUGCCGUUGAAACUGGCGGCCUCGAGUGGGCGAGAAGUAUGCGGAAUGCGUGGUGUAGCGGUGAAAUGCAUAGAUAUCACGCAGAACUCCGAUUGCGAAGGCAGCAUACCGGCGCCCUACUGACGCUGAGGCACGAAAGCGUGGGUA